UAAAAGAUAUGCUGACUGUAGAGUGAG
rnacentral:piRNA from 1 species